AGCAGUCGCCGCGGGAACACAGAGGGUGCGAGCGUUAAUCGGAUUUACUGGGCGUAAAGCGUGCGUAGGCGGCUUUUUAAGUCGGAUGUGAAAUCCCUGAGCUUAACUUAGGAAUUGCAUUCGAUACUGGGAAGCUAGAGUAUGGGAGAGGAUGGUAGAAUUCCAGGUGUAGCGGUGAAAUGCGUAGAGAUCUGGAGGAAUACCGAUGGCGAAGGCAGCCAUCUGGCCUAAUACUGACGCUGAGGUACGAAAGCAUGGGGAGCAAACAGGAUUAGAUACCCCCGUAGUCCCUGUCUCUUAUAC
rnacentral:rRNA from 1 species